CAAAGGGUCACGACCCACAGGUUGAGAACCGCUGAGGAGGAAAUGGGUGAGGGGCAGCAGGGCGCUUCUCACACUGAAAUGAAUGUGUGUGUGUGUGUGAGUGAAGGGAAAUGAGAGGCAGUCGAGGCCACAAGGGAUAUGGGUAGGUCCUGAAUGCGAGUCAAGGAACUAGGGAGCCAUGGCAGAUUCUUGAGCAGGGGGAGCAACACACCUAGCAGGGAGGCCGAGUUGCUGGGCAGGGGUUGGGGGGAUAAAGAAAGGGUGAGGCCGGAGAGGAGGGACUCUCUCUCUUAGUAACCAGCCCGGAGGAGUUUACCAGAUGAUUACUCCAGGAUUUAUAUGAUUAGAUUAAGUAGCUGCUCCCUAGUGGGCGGGCGAUAGAUAAAUUUCAGUGGAGGAAGGAGAAGGGAGCCACAGCACCUGGGGAGGGAAGAGGAGGAAGGUCCUGCUCCAAUGCCACUCCUUCCUGAAGCUCCCGAGGAUUCUUCCAAUCCCAAACGAAUGGUCCCUCUCUCAGGCUCCGUCCCGGUCACCUGCCACCUCCUCUCCUUGGGACAUCCAUCUGGCCCUGGCAUUGUAGGUGAUGCCCAGAUCAUCUGCCUCCGCUGAGUGAAUGGAGAAGCUUGGAUUCAGAGGUGACGCGGCUAGCUGACUAAGUAAGCCUGGUCGACGUGGAGGAUUUAGAACUCACACUCGGCCUUGGCAGCGUUCUCACGCCGACGGAGGGUGCGAGCAACUGAGGAGCAGCUCUCAACGUGCCGGGAAGGUCAGAUCCCAAAGGACAGGGCCCUGGGUGGGAAGAGCAACCAAGACCAGGGACUUCCUUGCCCCCUCGGCCUGUCUGACCCGCAGGAGGAGUAAGGCUGUCCAUGCCAACAGGCCCUAAGCUGGAUUGGCCGUCAUCGUUGUCCAAAACCCAGGGCAGAACAGAAGAGGGCGAGGGCCCCAGAGAGACGGCCCAUGAAUACCACCGUUCCCAGAGUCAGGGUGAUGGCCAGGCUUAGGGGACCUGAUCCCCCGGCCCACCCCCUCCCCUAGUGGCACGCCAGGCAAGCUCCCUGCGUCUGGGGGACAGGGGUCCCGUGCUAUGGGGCUCUGAUCUUGGAAGAGCCCAUUAGACAGGACUCAGGUGGGGAAACUGAGGCCCAGGGAGCUCAGGUGUCUCCCCCAUGGCCACACUGUGAGCUUGAGAUAAUUCUGGGGCUGCAAUCCAGACUUCCUG